UUGGUUUGAUACGGGUGGUCGGCUCCCUGCUUGAGCAGGCACGGCCACGCGUGCAUUCCUUUUCAGAUGUGCGGCAAGGCUUGUAUGGUCUUGAUCGUAUAAGUGGGUUUCCUGUGUUGAAUACCUGAUCAACGGCAUCGUUUCGAUCAAAAGCGUACCUUUUUCGUCUAGUGUUGCACCCGCACCAUUGGAUGAACCGUGUAGCAUUCUCUUUGAUCCAUACAAUUGACAUUCAUUGUUAGUUGUYUGGCCCAUUGAGCGUGUCUUGGUCCCUUGAAUAUGGAAGCCAAAGUGGGCACGGGAUCACAAGAUCCGUUUAGUGCCCUAAUUGAGCGUUUUCGCUUCUCUUACACGACUGCCUCUCACGUAUGGCACGUCCCAGCGUGUUUGGCUAUGUCGAAGAGGAAUGU
rnacentral:misc_RNA from 1 species